rnacentral:rRNA from 1 species
UACGGGGGGGGCAAGCGUUGUUCGGAAUUACUGGGCGUAAAGAGCUCGUAGGCGGUUUGUCGCGUCUGCUGUGAAAUCCCGAGGCUCAACCUCGGGCCUGCAGUGGGUACGGGCAGACUGGAGUGCGGUAGGGGAGAAUGGAAUUCCUGGUGUAGCGGUGGAAUGCGCAGAUAUCAGGAGGAACACCAGUGGCGAAGGCGGUGCUCUGGGCCGGAACUGACGCUGAGGAGCGAAAGCGUGGGGAGCAAACAGG